ensembl:lncRNA
CUUUAUUAACAAUGUGGCUUACAAUUUUUUCAAGUAAAAAGGGGUUUUUUUUUUCAUUUAGAAUAAAAAUUAAAAUAUAACUCUGAUAUAGAUUUUCAUUUAUUUACAUGAAAACAUAUAUACAGAAUAUAAUCUUACAGCAAAUCAAUGACAUGCCCUUUUGUCCUGCAAAUUUCAAAAGUAAAAACACCACCAACUUUUCUCUUCUAUGCACCAAAACAGACACAAGAUAUGAAUCAAGUUCCAAUACAAACUAUUCAAACCGGAAUGCAGAGCAGUAAAACAGCUUUCGACGGUCACGACUAGGGGUAGUUUAUGCUUCUAGACCUCAUGCAGGCUCCCAUUCCGAACAACAAAUGAGAUGAUCUUUUUUUUUUCUGUCAUUUAAAACAUUUUUUGUUUUCAAUCUCCCACUGUAAAGUGAUUUUCAGCAAAUGCCGAUUAGAACUUUUUCUUCAACACAUCGGGUCCACAUGAAGCACCCGAUCUGUCUGGCGAUGCAGCUAUUGACCUACUGGUCCUCACUGGUACCCAAUCCUAGCCAUUUUUAAAAUAAAACCAGUAAGACAGAAAGUCUGCCGCUCAAGAGACUGUGUUAUUACCGACCCUCUAAAUCAGAGACGCUUUUCUUAACCAAAACCCAAGGCAGCACCGUGUCAGCACUUAAGAAUUUUUAGGUGAAUUCAGUGGGUCAAAAAUAGCACAGAUGGAUACUGUUGCCUUGGGUUCAGGAUCCUCAAAUCAACCCUAGUGAUAAAAGCUAUGAGAAUUGCCCAACAUAAAUGCCCAAUGUGAAAACUCAACCCAGCUGGAAGGAGUAAAGCAAUUUCCAGAGAAGUCUUAAACGGAAAAGAACAAGAGAGGGAAGAAAGAGAAUCACGACACUGUAAUCGUUGCCAAUGGAGCUUCUCUUGCUACUUAGUUAUUUCAUAAACCGGGCCGUGGUGCGCUGGCAGCUACAGAUGUGAGAUGAACUCUUCCCGCCACGAGGGACAAAAACACAGUAAUGACACAGUCACAACAGGCAAACGUCCCUCGAAAACUGGCCGUUUCUCUGAGACGGAAGCUGGUGAG